UCCAGCCAAACGUGGGCUUGGUUUUUUCUCUUUUAGCUUUCUGGUGCCCCGCAGAAUUUGGCACCUGCAGGCUAAAAGGGAAAAAACCGAGCCGACGCUUGGCGGAA